rnacentral:lncRNA from 1 species
CUUUGUACCAGUAUAGAGAAAGAAUUGUGGUGAGCCAUUUGGGUUGAUCCUAACUGAAAAGUCUCCAAUCCCAGGGUCAUCAGCUGAUCUCCAUGAUGUUAGGAACCGAUCAGUUCCUAAUUUUCGAUCCAGCCCCAGUUUCAUUCCAGGUAGCUGUAUGUUAGUAGGAUAAUCGAAGCUUUGCCAUACAAUUUUCCUGCUUCUUUUCCUGACCAAUAUCAAAUUUCCUGAAUCCAAGAGUUGAGCUUCACAAGUAUCAUUUUCUUCCACUGAAACAUUUGGAGACCACACAGGAAGCUUUUGGUCAUCGUUACCAUAGAGAACGAGGUUUCCAUAUUGGUUUAUAAAGAGAAAUCCAGAGGAACCAAUGAUUGGAUGGUUCCUGUUUGCAACCCACACCACAGUUUGUUCUGGUACUUUAUGGUACCAAAUUCCAAGAUAUCUAUUGCUAGAACUACCUGGACUGAAAAAUCCUAGUGCAAAAUUAUUUCCUUCGGAGAUAAGAACGUCACCUUCUUUAAUGGUUUGGUUCGUCUUUAAGGAGUCUAGGGAUGUACAAGAUGAGAAAUGGAGCAUUAAAAGAGAAAAAAGCAGGAACAGUUUUUCAGCUUCCAUGAUGGGGUAAAGUGGAUCUUGGCUUUUGGAAAGUGUCAAAUUUUGCUUUGUGGAGAAUGGAUAUGGCCUUCAGACAAGUCUCCAGAGAAGUUGCGUGACGGAAUUAGGCAUCUCUUUAAUGAGUUACUCUUUUCAACCUUCAAAGUCUAGGCAAUGACUUGUUUUUGUUAAAAUAUCAAUGUAGAUUUUUUGGAAACGACACCGUCCUCUAGUUUUAGAAAUAUGUAGUAGGUUGCAGACACAUACAAAAACAACAUAAAAAAGACAAUAAACAUAAAGACCAUAAUAAUUAUAAUUCAAACUUUUAUUAGUCAAUAUUUUUCUAAACAAAUUUAAAUAUUAAAGCUUUUAAUAAAUCACCAUAAACAAAACUUAAAAAUUAAUAAAAUAUUUCUAAGUAAAUAAAAAACAAAUUUAAAUCAACUUGGAAAAUAUGACAUUUUCAAAAUAGUAAUUUCUAGUACUAGUUUGGAGGCUUUAACGAGCUUAGAUGCCUUCAUAAAUCAAACCCUAUACAAAGAUCAUGGCUUCUAGAAAUAAAAUUUAUGUUCAUUAUUUUAAGGUCAUAUGUUGGAUAAAAAUCUCCUAAAUCAGUCUUCUCGUGUUGGAAAUAACUCGUCUUCAAGUUCAAAUUGUUCUUGUUUUGACCUCAUGAAUGCUCAAUCAAAGCUCUAAAACUCCCUUCCUUUCUUCCCUUAAGGUAUAUAACAAUAUUAUAUAUCAACUUAAGUUCUUUAUUAAUAUAUGUUGUAUCUAUAUAACUUUUGAACAAUUCUACCUUUGUGAUAAUAAUAAACUUAUAAUUAAAAGGAUCAACAUAACCUAAAUCAAUAAUUUAAUUUUGUUACUUUGCACAUAAUUUCUAACCUAUCAAUAUGAACACCAUUGAUGACAUUAUUGCUACUUUGCAAUCAUUGUUUAUGCUAUUAUUAUUAUCAUAAGUUUGGUUAGGUGAUCAUAUAUAUAUAUAUAUAUAUAUAUAUAUAUAUAUAUAUAUAUAUAUAUAUAUGAUUUUAGUGUUCUUUGUUUUUUUUUCACUUGGAUCGUUUUUUAGAACUUGAUUUUGGUUCUUGAGAAAUAAUUAGAGUUGUCAGUGUCACGCAAAAAAAUAAGGAAGGAUUUGAUCUUCCAUGUGUUUGGUCUAACAAAUCUAAGCUAUGUGGCUUUCUAACUUCUUUUUUUUUUUUAUGUGUUUCUUGUGCUAUGUUGUUGAUUCCUCUUUUUGUUCCAUGAUCUUAGGAGGUUUUUAAAUAUUGUAAGGAUCUCUUGCUUUCUCAAUUUAUUAUAUUUUGUUGCGCUCUAUUUUUUUUUUUGGCAUAUAUAUUGUGUUUGACCAUAGCAUGUGUUGUUAUUUAUUUUUGGACCUCACAUAAACAUACAAAAUACAAAAAAAAAUUAAAAAAAUGGAAAACAAAUAUACAUAAGUGGGAAGAACAUGAAAGAUAUCUAGAAAAUUGUCACAGACUAGUAGGGGAGAAUCAAAAUAUUCAAAGUUAAAAAAUUGACAGUUCAAUUUUGAAUCAUGAAAGCCUUAUUAACAAGAAAAGUUCAAUUUGAGAAGAAAUAUUCAAAAUUAGAUGUUUAAUAACUCAAUUGAAAAUUUUCAAGGUUUAAUUGUAUUUAUUGAGGGCUUAAUUGCAAUAAAAAUUAGUUUUAAAGUUCAAUUUGGACUUUAAUGGAAAGAAAUUGAAGUUUGGGGGUUGAAUUGUAAUUUUAAAAAGCUAAUUUAGUUAGUUAAAAACAUGACAUGACAUCAUUAAUAUGAUGCGACAGAUGGAGUGAUGGUGCACCCUUCCUGUUGUAACCCAAUUUUGACCCAUUAGCUUUUAAAUUUAAUUUUACAGGGUUUAAAAUUUAAAAUUAAAAAAUAAGAGAUUUAUUUCGAUGAAAAGUGUGAUUUGUCAACUUGCAUGAAAACUAGAGACUACAAUGUGCUUUUGUCAUUCUAUCCUUAUCUUUAAGAUAAUCCUUGUCUUCAAGAUAAAAAUAGUUAUCUGUUUUCAAAUUUGAUUCUUAAUCAAAUUCAAACUUUAAAGAAGAGAAUGAGUUUAAUUGAAACUUUGUUUCUCACACGCGAAGGGACUCUGACACUAUAAAUACAAAUCUCAGUGUAUGCACAAAGGGGGAAAGACAAUAUAGAGAAAAAAAAAAAAACAAAGGAGAAAAACAGGGGAGACGACAGAAGUAAGAAAACAAAGGAGAGAACCUAAAAAAAAAACCAAGAAUAGAGGGAGAAGAGACUGAAAAGAGGAGAAGAAGGAGAGCAUUCUCCUGUUGAUGUCUGCACUGCUACCUUUGCCUUCAGCUUCACCAGGUAAAGCCUUCUUCUUCUCUAUGUUUUUGUGUAAUUGUUGCAAGAAAAUAGUGUCAAUGUAACUUAAUUACCUUCAUACUAUGCAGUGCACGUGUGGGUUGAGCCACGCUUGCUUGCUGCCCAACCGGGUCACUGGCUUAGGGCCAGUGACCAGGUUGGGUUGGCUGGGUCAAGCCCAGCCCAUGUUGGUUAGGCUAGACCCAGCCCCAAAAAAAAAAAAAAAAAAGAGAGAGAGGGUCAAUUAUGGGCUUUAGGCUUAGCCGGCCCAAAUUAUGUUUAUUAAGGGUGUGUUUGACAAAACACACCCUUAUGCCUUGGCUAUAAUUUUUAUGCUCAUUUUAGUUUGAUAUUUAGCCAAACGAGCCCCUUUUUUAUAUCAGAAAAUUCCAAAAAUAUUUGAGGAUCUUUGUUGAUUUAUUUGUGGGCCCCACGCACUUUGAUUUAUUUUUUUUCUUUGUGUUUUGUAUUUGUUUUAAGUUAUGUGCUCAAUCUGUGGCCUAUUAUUGUUAAAUACAAAUAUGUUGUGCAAUAUUUUUUUUAUUUCCAUCUAAAAAGGGCAAAUAAUAAUAAAGGAUAAACAAGAAAAAAUAUGACAUAGAAAAUUUCUUCUUCAAAUGUAUUUUUUGCGAAAAUAUUCACUGACGCUAGAGUUAGGAGUAUCGUAUUUUUUGGAUUUGUGCGAUAUUUACCAACGCUAGAGUUGUAAAUAUUCAUAGGAAUUGUUCACUGAUACCAGAGUCAGGAACAUGAAAGGAAGAAUAAAAAAAGGGAAAAGGAGAACAAAUUCUUAAGCAAUUUUAGAGAAAACCAGCAAUGCAGCCUGCCUCAAGUAGGACGCUUAGGGGGUGAUAGCAUCUUCCCUUUUGCAUAACCAGUCUUGUACCAUAGAAUCUUUGUUGAUCAGUUACGGUUCCUAGUGACCAUAAUACUAGGUGGCGACUCCUUGAACUAGAUAUUUUACCCUAAAAGAACAAGAUGUCAGAUAUCUGUUCUUUUUUCCAAUCAAGUGAUAAUUUUUAAUCGAUCACCGCGAUGUCCGGGUGUGACACUUCCAAUGGUGAAACCUGAAAAUAUUUUAAUAUGGUGCAUCCUUAGUUUUUAAUGGAAUCAAGAAACCAGCAUCUUGGGUUAUGUAUAGACAAAUUCAAUUCAUUCGGAUCAUUUGAUGCUCCUUGUUGGCCCGUGAUACAUUUUACAAAUUGUCACCAGAUAUGUGUAUGAGGCCGAAGUUCAUGUUUUUAUCAACAGUCAUACCUGGUUAUAAUAGUCCGAGUUAAAAUAUAGAUGUUUGUUUUCGGUGGUGGUUUGGAAGGAUUUCAAACCUUCAUACAUCUCUGAGGCCAUAUGGGCAAAAUAUAUUUAGCAUAUAAUGUAUGAUCAUUUUGUGCGACAAUCACACUCCAGUGCAAAGAACCAGAACUAGCAAGUUCACGAAUCUAUUAUCCACACACCGGCAGCUCUAUUCCAUGUGUUUCACAUGCGAGACAGAUAGUAAGAUUCGUUUUUUAUUAUAUAUAUUUUUUAUUUGUUGUUUUCUAUAAAUAUAUUUAAUUAACAGUUUUAUCUUGCAGUAUACAGAUUUUGGACAUAAACCAAGCCCCAUUGAUGACCGCAAAAAAAGUCAAGGGUGCAAUUUCAUAUUUUAGAUUAGCUAGGACACAUUAUGCUUAAUUGAUAAUUCCUAGAAAGUAUUUGAAUUCAUUGCAAGCAUUCGUGCGUUUUGGAUAAGAUAUGGUCAUCUAGCCAGGUGGCACGCAUCGUUUGGCAGAGACCACAGGGGUUGGAAUUUUUGCCUUAAGGUGUUUUUUCUAUUUUAACUUUUCAGUCCAAGUUUUGUAUAGUUGUGAGACCGUUUAGUUAGGGUAAGUGAAAAUAUCAUAAUCUCAAUUAUGAGUCUGAUGAAAAUAAUAUUUAUUUAAUAUUCUAAUAUUUAUUUGAUUUGAUUUUUAUUAGUUAUGUCAACUUAAUUUAUUAUUUAAAACAAUUUUAUACUUUAGUGGCAUUCCACAAUUGAUAUUCAAAAUUUAUUAAAUCAGAUUUUUUUUAAUUUCUUAACUAUGAUUUUUAAAUAUAAAAAACUUUGAUUUAUUAAUUUCAAAGAAAUUAUUUUUUAAUAUUUAAAUAGUUACCCUUAAGGGAUUUUACUGCACAACCAUUUAAGUAAUUAUAUUGUAUAAAAAAUUAAAAGCCCAAAAAGCCCAUGAUUAUUUUUAUAAUGAUCAAUUAAGUAUGUGAAAAGACCACGUUAUCCUUAAAAGACAGGCAAAGUUUUUAGAUUGAGAAAGGCAAAAUAGUAAAUUCAUUACUAUAAUCCAUAAUAAUUCAACACAUAUCUAUAGUAAUUCUUUCGGGUUUAGGUUUUUGUUAAUUCUACAUGGAAAUAAGGAGUUGAUGUAUGAUAUAUAUUUUUUAGAACAUUAUAAUAUUUGAUUUCAAACAUGUUGUCAGCGAAAAUGGAAAAACGGGUAAAAGGGAGAAAAUUGACAUUGAAAUUGUGGGAUCGGAUAAUUGGUCUUUCCAAUGCAUUUUUCAAUUUUUUUUAUAUAUAAAAUGCUUAAAAGACUGGAAAGAGAGUUUUGCACUUUCUCGGCCAUGGUCCAUACAUGCUCAAAUUUUGGAUAUGAAGACUUUUGGGCUUUCCUUGUGUGUGUGUAUAUAUAAAAAAAAAUAAAAAAAUCAGAGAUUACCUUGAGUUUAUUAUUCUAGAAAUCAAAGCAAAAACGUCAAAAUAUAUAUAUAUUCUAAGAUGAAAAAACUAAAAUUAAUGUCUAAAAUUGAUAUACACUUAAAAUGAAGAGUUUUAAUUUGACAUGCAAAGAAUUAAAUAAUAGUAAUUUGAAUUCAUUGACGAGUUUUUUCUAACCAAAUGAGACUAAUGAAGGAGGAUUUUUUUUUAAUAUACAACUUUAUAUUAAUGAGUACAAUUUUCAAUUUCAUGGUUAGCUCAUGCUAUAACUUUGGUAAAAGAUUUCAAAAGCUUUAUUUUCUUGAGGGUAAAAAGUCCAUACCCAUCAGAGUUCAAAAGGAGUCCAAAAAUUACUAUUUAAGAUUUUUUAUAUUUUCUAGUUAAUUUAUGAUUUUUUUCUAUUUAGAUUAAAACCUUUUUUUAUUUUUUUUAUUUUUAUUUAAGAUGUUUUUCCUAGUUUUUUUAUGACUUUUAUUACUUUUCGUUUAUUUUCUGAAUUUAUUGUUAGUUUAGUUAAGUUUUUAGGUUUAUUGAAGGAAUUGCAAACCUCUUAAAUUGAUAGAUUAUUUGAAAAAAAAAUAUAUUCAGUUAUAAAAUUAUAAAUUAGGAUUUCUAUGUGAUUUGUUUUAGAAUUAUUUUGUAUUUUUUUGUUUUUGUCUUUCUCGUGGUACUUUCAUCUGCAUCAGUAGUAUAUAAAACUUCAAUUUAUAAUUUUAUUAUUGAAUAUUUAUCUUCAAAUAAUCUUUUAAAAUACAAGAUAAAAAUCUUACUUAUACUAGAAAAAACACCCUAAACAAAACUAAAAAUAAUAAUAAAAGAGUUUCAAACUAAGUAGAAUGUUUUAUUAAAUCAACUAAGUAAAUAUUGCAAAUCCCAAAUAAUAAUUUCUUAGACUUAUUUGAAAGUCUUUUCAUAUUUGAAUUGAUACAAAACUUUAACUUUAUAAUAAAUAAAGCACAAAAGGAAUUCCCAUUAAAAUAACCUAAUUCAAUAGUUGAAUUAAAAGGAAUUCCCAUUAAAAUAAAGUUGGAUUCUAAAAAAACAAUAGUCUCCUACAUCAUAAAACACUACUUGUACUCGGCCUGUGCUAGUUUUUUAAUUUUAUUUAAAGGUACUAGGUUUUUUUUUUUUAAAUCAGAAAAAAGAAAACGCAAGGACAUGGUUAAAAUAAAGAAUUCUAAUCUUUACCAAAUUUGGUUAUGAAGAACUUUUUCCCAUAAUAAAUAUAAAAAGACUUAAUAUCACGCCUCGAACCAAGACUCAUGAAAUUAUUUUAUGUGCACGAAGAAAUUUUAACUUCAAAAAUAAAAAUUAUAUUCAAAAUAAUAUUCAAUUAAAAGAAAAUACAUUGAAUCAUAAGUUAAUUAAGACUUUAAUAAUAUAAAUCUAACUUUAAAGUCAAAUAAAAACAAAUGUAAGUCUAAAUCAAAGAUAAUAAAUUGAUUUAAUUAUUUAAAUAUUAAAGUCUAGAAAUUAACUAUAAACUUCCAAAACAACUAGAUGACAUUCUAAGCCUUUUCCAAAAUUAAAUAAGAGGUGAGUUAGAGAAGUCUAUUUGAUGCAAACUCAAUUUUGUUGGAUUUCUGACUCAAAGACCUAUCAACCUAUGGAAUUUCAGCUAAAAAAAUACUCAUAUAAGAGAUAUGAUAUUUCUAAGACAACCUAUAAAUUCUGAUAACAGACAGGUUUUGUGAAGAAAUAAGUCUCAAACAUCCAAACCGACAGGACAAUUAUUUUUUCAUAUGAAAAUGGUUUUUAUUUAGGCAAAUUAACUUCACUAAAUCCAAAGUCAAAACUUGAAGAUUUUAUAUAAGACUAUUUUUCCUUCUUUAUAAGAAAGUAAUUAUUGUGUUACUUAAAUAUAGAUUGUCUACUUUGGAAAUGACUUUUAUAUUUUUAGGAUACAAACGGACUAGUAGGAAUGUGAGGAUUAUGGUUUCCUAUCAUAUAAAAAGAAAGAGAGAGAGGAAGAGAGGGAGGCGAUAAAAAAAGAAGAAGAAACUCUCAUCUUUUUUUCCUACACUUGACAUUUUGUUUUCAUCCUUUCUUUUCCUUAGUUUUUUUAUAGUCAUACGAGACUAAGUUAUUUUUCUUGGUUGAAAAGAUACAGAAGCCUUAAAAUUUCAAAAAAGCUAUGAGAUCUAUUUUAUCUUUUCAUUUCAGUUUAUAUGAUGAGUAUAGAUGUUUUUCUAUACUUAUUUUUUUAUGACUGUUUAGUUUGAUUGAUUAGAACGACUAAGUUUUCAUUCUUACCAAUCUAUUGCUAAAUUUCUAUCAAAAUCAGAGUCGUGAUAUUUAACUUGUGAAGCGGCUAAGUUUAAUAAUUAUGAAAGAUCUAUGCUAUUAAUUUUAGGGAAAACAAUCAAUUAAAUUGAACAUAGACUGUAGACAGAUAUGUUGUCUAGAUUUAUCAACCUAUCUAGUUCUUAAGGCUACCGUUGAAUUAAAUUGCUAGUGCGGACGCAAUGGUUGUUUAAUGGUUAGAUUAGUUAUACUGAAUGUCAGUUAACUGAUUAAUAUUAAGAAAAGAUAAAUAUUCAGAAUAUAAAUUGACGAAUCGUUUCAAUAAUUAGUUUUGAUUUCUGUCGUUGAACAUUUACUUAAAUGUUUUUCUCUUAAUAAGUUUCGGUUUAUUUAACUUAGUUUGAGUACUUUAUUUUGUUUACCUUACCUAGCUUAGAUAAUUUCAACCCCUCAACUUUGAAUCAUUUAGCAUAAAAACCCAAACUAAAUCUUUCUCGUGGGAUCGACCUCUUACUUGCUCUAUAUUAUCUUAUUUGUUUAAGUUAGGGUAAUUAAUUUGUGUGAUCACGACAUUGCAACACAAAUACAUAUAUCUUAAAGUAUAUUCAAAGAACUUUUGCAAUCAUAAACAUAUUUUUAUAAAUCACUUAACAUUAUUUACAAAAUCAUUUACAUGCAUGAUCCACCUAAUUUACAAAACAAUAAUUAUUUGAAAAACUCAUUUUGUACAUAAGUAUAUAUUUUCUAACUUAAAAUAACUAACCAAAGUGAUGAAAUAUUACUUGCAUGUUACACAAAUCCAAUAUAUAUUUGUCCUAGAGACAACCAAGCACUCUUAACAACCUAACAAUAAUAAUCAUUAUAAAUUAUAUGCUCACUGAUAUCCAAUGCAAUACAUGAGCUUGUUUCUAAUUCAUAAUUUAAUAAAAAAAAAUUAAAUAUAUCACUUGCUUAAAUGACCUUAAAAUUCCCAUGAAAAAUCAUCCAAUACUAGAACCGUGUUAUUACAACCCCCUAUUUUACUUAUAAAAUAUCUAUUUUUAAUAAUUAAAUACCAAAAAUCACCUAAUGCUAGAACCAUGUUAUUACAACCCCCUAUUUUACUUUUAAAAUAUCUAUUUUUAAUAAUUAAAUACCAAAAAUAAUUAUGUAAAACAUAUGACUAUUAUAGUUCAAAUUUAAGAACAUUAUAAAAUCUAUUAGAAAAGGAUAAUAAAUAUUUUUAUUUCAACUAAAACAAUAUUAUAAGUAUAAUUAAAGUGGAGGUGUCAAAAAUUAUUAAGUGCAACUAUUUUUUAAAAAUAAUUUAUGUAGUAAAUAAAUUAAUUCAUAUACAAAUCAAGUUCUUUAUGAAAUACUUUUCACUAAUUCAAAUUCUACAUGAAAAGAAAUUGAUAGUAGUAUAUUAAAAUGUUUAAAACUUAAUUAUAAAAGUUAUUCAUCAAUCUUCAAAAUAAAUUUUAGUUAUUAACUACUAAAUUUCACUAAUAAAAAGUAUUUUUUUCAUAAAUUUAAAAAUACUAAAAAAUAUAUUAAAAGCACACUAAAAUUUCCUAGUAACAUAUUAAAUAGAAACAACAAACUUUAGGUCAUUAAAUAUUCAGGGAGAAUUGCACUUUUUAAUAAAAAAAAUAAAAUUAAAGAGUAUUUAUAAACUUAUAAAUUACAAAUUCAAGUGACUUACAUCCGACUGUCAUAAUUUUUAAUCCACAACUUUGAUUUGGGCAAAUGACUUAUCAAAUCAAAGAACUUACAACAUACUAUAACUAGGUACUAAAUUCCAACCAUAACAAUAAUUGGAAGACCAGAUUCCUGCGGUCCAAAAUUACCAACUUAUCCUUUUUUUUCAAAUCUCUUAAUUUCACUAUUACUUCUUAAAAAUAUUUUUUAUUAAAAUAAUUUUUUUAAAAGAAUAUAUAUAUUAAAAUAUAUUUUUUUAUUUUUAAAAUUAGCAAAUUAAAAUGAUUUAAAAAUAUAAAAAAAAUUAAUUUAAAACAUUUUUUAUAAAAAUUUUGCAAAUCUCUAUUUAAACCACACUGGAGGUCAUCUUAUACUACAUAACCUACUCGAAGGCCGCUCAAUUUUUAUUUCUUUUUAAUUUUAAUUAUAUGAGUUCUUUAACAUAUCUCAAAUUUUCGAUAUUGAUGUUGACACUUUUGUUAUACUUAAAAUUAGGAUCAAUAUUCGCAACAUACAUUUAGUAGAGAAAUUGUGUCCUACAAAAUCAGAAAUCAUAUGAUUGAGAUUGUAAAAUUCAAAAAAUAAAAAGUUUUAAAUCCAAAAAAUAAAGUAAUCUUAAAAAGGGAAAGAAUUUUUGGGAUUAGUUUUAAAUCCCAAAAAUAAACUAUUUAAUUUCUUUAUUUAAUCAAGCUAACUUUCAGUUUUUUUAUUUAGUUUUUUCAAUCAUCAUUCAUCUAGUUGAAUUGAUUUUUUUUUUCAAAAUAAAGAGUUUUACAAGGACUAAAUUGCAUAAAUUUUAAGGGUGCAAUUUCAUAUUUUAGAUUAGGACACAUUGUGCUUAAAUGCUAAUUCCUGAGAAAGUAUUUUAAUUCAUUGCAAGCAUUCGUGCGUUUUGGAUAAGAUAUUGUCAUCUAGCCAGGUGGCACGCAUCGUUUGGCCGAGACCACAUGCCUUAAGGUGUUUUUUCUAUUAUAACUUUUCAGUCCAAGUUCUGUAUAGUUGUGAGACCUUUUACUUAGGGUAAGUGAAAAUAUCAUAUUCUCAAUUAUGAGUCUGAUAAAAAUAAUAUUCAUUUAAUAUUCUAAUAUUUAUUUGAUUUGAUUUUUAUUAGUUAUGUCAACUUAAUUUAUUAUUUAAAACAAUUUUAUACUUUAGUGGCAUUCCACAAUUGAUAUUCAAAAUUUAUUAAAUCAGAUUUUUUUUUUAAUUUUUUAAAUAAAUUUUCAAAUUUAAGAAACUUUGGUUUAUUAAUUUCCCUAUGCACUGCAUCGCUUGAACUUUAGUCUUUAGGGUUUUCUUUCAAGUGGGCAGCAUGAGAAAAUAUCUAUCGGACAAAAACAGUUUUUUAAGUACUGAUAGUUUUUUUUAAGGAAAAAAAUCAAUUAAUAUAAGAUUUGACACAUAUUAGAAGAUACUGUUUUUAAUACUAAGACAGUUAUACAUUAAAAUUUAUUUUUUAAGUAUUAAAAUACUGCAAAUCCCAAACAAUAAUUUCUUAGACUUAUUUGAAAGUCUUUCCACAUUUGGAUGGAUAUAAAAUUUAAACUUUAUAAGAAAAUAGAAACUUUGAAUUUUUUUAUUAAAAUUUUAAUCCGAUUCAACAGUUAAAUAAAAAGUUAUGUCUAUUAAAAUAAAAUUAUAUUUUAGAAAAAAAUAAUCUAUGCCUUCAAUAAAAUAGCUUGAGAAAACACUAUUGGGACCAGUGGUUUUUCAAAAACAUCAGCAUUUCCUUUCCAGAGGUGCUAUUUCUUAAAAAAAAAAAAAAAAAUUUCGCCGUAUGCUAGUUUUUCAAUUUUAUUUAAAGGUAGUCCAUCAAUUUGACAAUUCUAUGUUUCAUGCUCCCAUGAUAUGAGAUGAAUUCCUAAAUGCUAUUAGUCUGGUUGGGCAAUCAGAUUUAACAGUGUUACGUCCUGCUAUUAGUAGAAUCCAAUAAUAUUAUGCCAACCAGAUUUAAUAUUAUUGGAUAUGACUUGGGUUUGGUGGUUAAGUUUGGCUUAACUACUAAAUCCAAAAAUAUUAAGUUUGGAAUUGCUGUCAGACCUAAAUCAUUUAAUAUAUUAUACUAAUUUAAUUUCAAACAUGUUGUAGGUGAAAAUGGACAAAUGAGUAAAAUGGAGAAAAUUGACAUUGAAAUUGUGGGAUCGGAUAAUUGCUCUUUUUCAAUGCAUUUUUCAAUAUUUUUAUAUAUAAAAUGCUUAAAAAACUGGAAAGAGAGUUUUGCACUUCCUUGGGCCAUGGCCCGGACAUGCUCGAAUUUUGGAUAUGAAGAGCUUGAUCUGUUGUGAUGCACAACAUAUAUGUCCCAUUGUUUUCUGCCGCUUUAAAAUAUUUGUUCUGACUGUCUUGCGGAAAGGCAUUCACUAUCGUUAGCAAAUCUAAUGGAACUUCAUAUUAGCAAUUUUUCGGACAGCACAGCUUCAGCGACUAGCGAUUUCAGAAAUUGUCACCUCAUUUACAGAGCACAGUCCAUCUUCAACGUCUAAUGCUAUAUCAGGAAAUUUAUCAGAUUUUCUUAAGAGGAAUGCAGGUUGGGAGUUUUAGCAGGGGCUACGUCUAGUGCUGAAGAGCUUGAUCUGUUGUGAUGUACAACAUAUUUGUUUUCAUUACAAAUCUAAUGGAACUUCAUCUUAGCAAUCAUUCAGACAGUACAGCUUCAGCGACAGGCAAUUUCAGUAAUUGUCACCUCAUUUAGAGAACACUGUCCAUCUUCUACGUCUAAUGCUAUAUCAGGAUUAUUGUCAGAUUUUCUAAAGAGGAAUGCAGGUUGUUUUGGAGAAGGAAUCUCUGUUUCGUUACUCAACAUAAAACAACAGCCAACAUAGAUGGUCUGUCCGUGGCAUCUUCUUGCACGCACAGUAGACCAAUUUGUAUGCAUUUCAAGGCUUCACGCGGAUGAUACAACUCCUUCAGUGAUGGAUCAACUAUCUCCAAUGCUUUGUCUUCUCUCCAUAAUUCCCACACCUGUGUUGUUCAUAUAAAUCAUUAGCAUACAAGAAAUGAGAGCAGGCAACAUCUAAAAUUGUGAACAUUGAAACUCAGCCAAGAGCACAAAAGGCUAUCUUAUAACUCACAUAUCCAAUCAAGGUCAAAGGAGGAUUCUGUUGAUAAAAUCUAUUGUUCUUCUUGCCACUAACAAUCUCUAGCAACAUGACCCCAAAACUGAAAACAUCUGAUUUUGCGGAAAAGUUUCCAAACACAGCAUAUUCUGGCGACAUAUAUCCACUGCAUCAGAAAAACAAUAGUAGUUUUAGUAUUCCUGGUAAUCAAGGAUAGUACUUUGUCACUCGGUCUUUGUUUUAGGCAAAGGUACUUACUAUGUUCCCACAACUCUCCUUGUCCUAUCUUCAGUUUGGUUGCCUUCAAAUAUUUUUGCCAUUCCAAAAUCUGAUAUUUUUGGGUUCAUCUCUGCAUCCAAUAGAAUGUUGCUGCAUUUUAAAUCCCUGUGAAUGAUUCUCAACCUGGAGUCUUGGUGAAGAUAUAAAAUCCCACGAGCUAUUCCAACAAUAAUAUCAAAGCGUUUUCGCCAAUCCAAUAACAAUCUUCUUGUUUCAUCUGUUGAAACAAUUAUUUUUCAGACAACUAGUGUAAAUCAGGGCAAUAAAAACAUAAAGAGACUUACGGAAAAGAAACGAGUCCAAGCUUUUGUUCGGCAAGUAUUCAUAGAUUAAGAUUUGUUCUCCAUCCUGAGUGCAAUAACCUAGAAGUUUCACCAGAUUCCUGUGUUGAAGCAUUGCAAUUACCAUAACUUCAUUUUUAAAUUCUUCUGUUCCUUGUCUUGAACUUCUAGAUAACCUUUUUAUUGCAACCUCCAGCCCAUUAGCUAGCAGACCCUAAAAUCAUGUUACAAGAUUAAGCCUCUGGACUAAUAUUAUGCAAAUUAGAGAGGCCAUUUAGUUUUUAGCUAAAUGCAAGAAACUCAACCUUAUAAACAGAGCCAAAACCACCUUGCCCGAGUUUGUUAGCUGGAGAGAAAUUGUUUGUGGCCGCCGUUAUGGUGCUGAGCUUGAAAUAUUUCAAUUCAGUAGAAGUGCUGUUUACCUGCAGUUCAGAACCUUUUUUGGCUCUCUUCUUGAACCACAAAUAAGCAAACACGCUAAUGAGAAACCACAAUAAUGCAAUUGAUGGUGCUAAAACGGCCUGCAUCGUUUUUUCACGAGAAUCAUUUGACUUCCUUUUAGUAUCAGCUGCAUGAGAAUGAUAUCAUUUUCUUCCACUGAAACAUUUGGAGACCACACAGGAAGCUUUUGGUCAUCGUUACCAUAGAGAACGAGGUUACCAUAUUGGUCUACAAAGAGAAAUCCUGAGGAACCAAUGGUUGGAUCGUUCCUGUUUGCAACCCACACCACAGUUGUUCUGGUACUUUAUGGUACCGAAUUCCAAGAUAUCUAUUGCUAGAACUACCUGGACUGAAAAAUCCUAGUGCAAAAUUAUUUCCUUUGGAGAUAAGAACGUCACCUUCUUUAAUGGUUUGGUUCGUCUUUAAGGAGUCUAGGGAUGUACAAGAUAAGAAAUGGAGCAUUAAAAGAGAAAAAAGCAGGAACAGUUUUUCAGCUUCCAUGAUGGAGUAAAGUGGAUCUUGGCUUUUGGAAAGUGUCAAAUUUUGCUUUGUGGAGAAUGGAUAUGGCCUUCAGAGUUAUUAAACCCGGCCCGGGAGUUGACCCGGCCAAGUGGCCGGGUCCCGGGUUUCAUGGGUCAACCCGGGUCAACUCGGGUCAACCCGGAUUAACCCGGAAAAAUUAAAAAAAAAUUAAAGUUUUAAUAUUUCAUAUGAAAAAAUUCAUGUAAAUAUAGAUUAUACAUAUUAUAAAGUUUAAAAGAAUAUUUUAAAAAGUUUUUUAUCCUACAUUAAAAAGAUAUUAUGUUAAGCUUUUAAGUUAAAGUAUUUAAACUAAAAAAGUUUUUUAUCCCACAUUUAAAAAACAUAACUUUUUUCUUGGAAACAUAGAGUAUAUAUACUAAUGAGUUUCAAAUCCCACAUUGAAAAGAUAAUAUAUUAUCCUUUUAAGUGGAAGUAUUUAAACCAAAAGGUUUUUUAUCCCACAUUGAAAAAACAUGAUUUUUUUCUUGGGAACAUAGAGUAUAUAUACUAAUGGGUUUCAAAUCCCACGUUGAAAAAACAUGGUUUUUUUCAUGGGAACAUAGAGUAUAUAUAUAAAAGGCCUUCAAAUCCCACAUUGAAAAGAUACCAUGUUAUCCUUUUAAGUUGAAGUAUUUAAACAAAAGGUUUUUUAUCCCACAUUGAAAAAACAUGGUUUUUUUCAUGGGAACAUAGUGUAUAAAUAUGAAAGGGUUUCAAAUCCCACAUUGAAAAGAUACUAUGUUAUGCUUUUAAGUUGAAGUAUUUAAACCAAAAGGUUUUUUAUCCCACAUUGAAAAAACAUGGUUUUUUUCAUGGAAACAUAGAGUAUAUAUACUAAUGGGUUUCAAAUCUCACAUUUGAAAAAAAAAAAAAACAAAAAACAAAAAAAAUCGGGUCUCGUCCGGGUUCGCCCGGGUCACCCGGGUUCCGGGUCGACCCGCCGGGUCGCCCGGGUUUGGCCGGGCUGUUGCCACAGCCGGUCUUUUAUUAAACCCGGACCGGUCCAGCCACCGGGCCGGGCCGGGUUUAAUAACUGUGCUUCAGACAAGUCUCCAGAGAAGUUGCGUGACGGAAUUAGGCGUCUCUUUAAUGAGUUACUCUUUUCAACCUUCAAAGUCUAGACAAUGACUUGUUUUUGUUAAAGUAUCAAUCCAGGAUUUUUGGAAACGACACCGUCCUCUAGUUUUAGAAAUAUGUAGGUGAUUGCAUACGCAUAUAAAAACAACAUAAAAAAGACAAUAAACACAAAGAAAGAUGGAAUUGCGUCGAAAAAGACAAAAUCAUUCAAACUUUUAUUACUCAAAAAUUUUCUAAUUAAAUUUAAAUAUUAAAGCUCUUCUAAAUUAUUAUAUACUAGGAAAAACACCCUGAACAAAGCUUAAAAAUUAAUAAAAUAUUUCUAAAGUAAAUAAAAAAAUAAUCUAAAUUAACUUGAAAAAUAUGAUAUUUUCAAAAUAGUAAUUUCUAGUACUGGUUUGGAGGCCUUAACUUCAUAAAUAAGACCUUUAGGAAUAUUGCCUCUAGAAUCAAAAUUUAUGUCCAUUAUCAUAAGGUCAUGCGUUGGAUGAAAAUCUUCUACAUCAGUCUCUUUAUGUUGAAAAUAACUUGUUUUCAAGUUCAAAUUAUUCUUGUUUUGAUAUCGUGAAUGCUUAAUCAAAGCUCUCAACCUCUUUUCCUUUCUUUUCUUAAGGUAUAUAACAAUACUAGAUAUUGGCUUUAGUUCUUUAUCAACAUAUGUUGUAUCUAUAUAAUCCUUGAACAAUUCUAUCUUUGUGAUAAUAGUAAACUUGUAAUCAAAAGGAUCAACAUAAUCUAAAUCAAUAAUUUAAUUUUAUUGGUCAUCUUCGGUAUUCUAUUUACACUUAAUUUCUACCUUAUCAAUAUGAACACCAUUGAUGACAUUAUUGCUCCUUUGCUGUCAUUGUUUAUGUUAUUAUUAUUAUCAUAAGUGUGGCUAGGUGAUCACACACAUAUAUAAAAGUUUAGUUUUCUUUGUUAUUUUUUUCACUUGGAUCGUUUUUGUUUUUGAGUUUUUUAGAUCUUGAUUAUGGUUCUUGAGAAAUAAUUAGAGUUGUCAGUGUUACGCAAAAAAAUAUGGAAGGAUUUGAUCUUCCAUGUGUUUGGUCUGAUAAAUCCAAGCUAUGUGGUUUUUACUUUGUUGAUUCAGCUUUCUAACUUCUUCUUCUUCUUUUUUAUGUUUCAUGUGUUAUGUUGUUGAUUCCUCUUUUUGCUGGAUGAUCUUAUGAGGUUUUUGAAUACUGUAAGGAUCUCUUGCUUUCUCAAUUUACUGUAUUUUGCUGCACUCUACAUCUAUAUUGAGUUUGAGCAUAGCCAGUGUUGUUAUCUAUUUUGGAACCUCACAUAAACAUAAAAAAAAUAAAAAAAAUAAAAAAAUAUACAUCAGUAGGAAGAACAUGAAGAAUGUCCAGAAAAUUGCCAACUAGUUGGGAAGAAUCAAAAUACCCAAAGUUGAAAAAUUGAUAGUUCAAUUUUGACUCAUGAAGGCCCUAUUAACAAGAAAAAUUCAAUUUGGAAAGAAAAAUUCAAAAUUAGAUGUUUAAUAACUCAAUUGAAAUUUUUCAAGGUUUAAUUGUAUUUAUUGAGGGAUUGAUUGCAAGGAAAAUUGGUUUUUAAGUUCAAUUUGAACUUUAAUGGGAAGAAAUUGAAGUCUGGGGGUUGAAUUGUAAUUUUAAAAGGCUAAUUUAGUUAGCUAAAAACAUGGCAUUGUAUUAUUAAUAUGAUGCGGUGGAUGGAGUGAUGGUGCACCCUUCCGAUGGUGAAGCCUGAAAACAUUUUAAUAUGAUGCAUCCUUAGUUUUCAAUGGAAUCAAGGAACAUGCAUCUAGGGUUAUGUACAGACGGAUUCAAUCCAUUUGGAUCAUUUGUUGCUCUUUAUUCUUGUUGGCCAAUAAUACUCACAGUUUACAAAUUAUCAUUGGGCAUGUGUAUGAGGUCGGAGUUCAUGUUUUUAUCAACGGUCAUACCAAGUCAUAAUAGUCUGAGUUAGAAUAUAGAUGUUUGUCUUUGGUGGUGAUUCAUAAGGAUUUCAGGCCUCCGUACAUGUCAGAGGCCAUGUGGGCGGAAUAUAUUCAGCAUGUGAUGUUUGAUCGUUACGUGCGACAAUCAUACUCCGGUUCAGAGAACCAGAACUAGAAAGUUCAUGGUUUUGUUAUCACACACACCAGCAGCUCCAUUCGAUUCGUUUCGCAUGCAAAACGAAUGGUUAGAUUAGUCUCUCUAACACUACAACCCAGUUCUUGCGAAUAGCCCGUAAUUUUUCAAACCAUUAGAUAUUUGUAAUCAGUUUCGAGCACUCAUACUCUAGAGUUCGAGAUGAUUUUAGACCAGCGAAUUAAAGAUUAGACGACCCAUCUUGUUGCUGAUUAUGAAUGACUACUUAGUGUUGAGAUAACCAAACUUCACCAAUUCGUAUUGGAGAUGAGAUCACAUAUGAGUGGUACUUGUGCUCCCUCUUAUUCGCCCCACAGUUUAGGCAAAGAUCUGCCUUCUCCUCCUCCUCCAGCACUUCUAUUCUAGAUGAAUUGUAUUUGAACUUAUAAAUGUUUAAAUUUGUAAUAAAUAUUUGAUUUUAUAUUAGUUUAAUUUUUUAAAUACUUUUUGUUUCUGCUUAAUAGAUUUUUUUUAAAUAUAUUUUUGAAUUAUUAAUGACAGGGUUACAAACGGACAUAGUUUGUCGGUAUAUUUUAAAAAGUUGAAAAAUAAUUACUGCAAAUAUCACUGUCAUUGUUUACUGACCGACAAAAUAACAUACAAUAUGUUUGACAAUUACAAGUUAAAUUUACCGAUGGACAUACUGACAGUUGAAAAAAAUCAUCAAUGCAAUGACAUGUGGUUUUUCUGUUAGUGAUAUGUUAUAUUCAAUGUUGGAAAUACUGAUGAAAUGAAGCAGGUAAAGUUUUUUUUUUUGCAUGCUUUGUACAUUAUUAAAUGUAUCUGUAAAAUUAUUACCGAUAGAUCACAAAUCAUUAAUGAGAGUUUUUUCGAUGGAAGAUUUUUGUCUGUGAUCAUGUCGUUAAGGACAUGAAGCAAAGAGUGAACUUCUUCCUAAUAAACACGUGACUUGGGACGGCAUAACAAAUAGAGAUUAGAGAGUCUUGUCGUACCUUAUUUUGCCCUCUUCUUGAGCCACAAAUAAGCAGUUAACAUUUGAUGCAAUUGAUGGUACUAAAAUGGCCAGCAUCGUUUUUUCAAGAGAAACAUUUGACUUCCUUGUAUUAUUAGCUGCAUGAGAGUGAAAAGAAUAAAGAUUCAACUCCAGAGGAAAAACAACAAUACAGAUCUUAUUAACAUUUGACUUUCUCCAAUGGAAACAUGACAAUACAAUUGCAAAGGCUGGCCCCUUCGGCACCUAACAAGUAUCAAUAUCAAUGGUUUCUUUCAUGAAGUACAGAGCUUAUUAACUACAUCCUAGAGCAGUGGCAAACAUUGAAAAGCUUUUAUAAAACAAUAUUUGAAAUGAAAAUUCUAAGAAAUUGGUACUGAGCAGAAAAAGGGCACCUAAUUCAUAUGCAUCAACACGAACAUAUAGAUCAUAAAUUUCACUCCUUUCAUAUCUGAUGUCUACUAAUUCCUUGUACCAUGUCAAACUGUUGAUAAUAGGUAUAUAAAGAACUGAAUGUUGAUGAUAACCAGAAAAACAAAGAACAAAGAACUUGCAACAAAUUAAGAACAAAGAGCAGAAUGUUUUUCAUAUUGGUUACUGCCAUCCCUUAGCUUUUAUUUAUAGAUGAAAUCAAUCACAACACAAUUAAGAAACAUAAUUAACAUAAACUUCUUCAUUUAUGGAGCUAUGUAACUUAUCCUAAAUAAGUUUCAUAUCUAAAGGUAAAAACUCACUAAACAACAUUAAGAUAAUGAUGUUACUAAUAGAUAAACAUUAAUGAAAGAUAACAUAUGGCUGAGACAUUAAUUUCAGCUUUGGUGCCAUAACUUCAACACUCCUCCUUGGUUCCAAAGCUGCACAUUCCUAUCAUCUCCCUUAGAUCUUCAAAUCUAUCUUUAGCUAAAAGCUUGGUGAACAGGUCUGCUAAUUGCUCUUUUGAAGUGCAGUAUAUCAUCUCUAGUUCCCCUUCAUGCUGGAAUUGCCUGAUAGCAUGGAACUUGAUCUUCAUAUGCUUGGUCCUGUCAUGAAAAACAGAAUUCUUUGAAAUAGCUAUUGCUAAUGUAUUGUCACAGAACAAUUCUGUGGGACUUCGUUGAUCAAAGUCUAGAUCAUUCAGCAUUUUCCUUAGCCAUAACAAUUGCUUUGUUGCCACAUAUGCUGCUAUGUAUUCUGUCUAUUCAGUAGAAUGUGCAACCACUGAUUGCUUCUUUGAGUUCCAACAGAAAAUGCUUCCUCCAAUAGCAAAGCAAUAACCUGAGGUGCUCAUCAUUUCUUCAUCACUUCCAGCCCAAUCACUAUCAGAAAAACCAACAAGUUUAACAGAACUUGAUUUCACAAAAUGCAUGCCAAACUCUAAGGUCCCUUUCAGAUAUCUCAGAACUCUCUUGGCAGCAACAAAAUGGAUUUGACUUGGACUUUGCAUGAACCUAGAGAGGUAAUUGAUAGCAAAAACAAUGUCUGGACGUGCAGUAGUUAAAUACAACAAGCUGCCAACUAAACUUCUGUAGGCUUUUCCAUCAGUUUUGGGAGCUCCAUCCUCCUUCAUUAACUUUUGUCCCAGUACCAUAGGUGUACUGACUGGUUUGCAAUUUUCCAUUGCAAAUUUGUUUAGUAGCUUCGUUGUAAACCUCUUUUGACAUAGGAAAUAACCUUGCUCCGACUGAGUUACUUCCAUGCCUAAGAAGUAUGACAGCAAACCAAGUUCAUUCAUCUCAAACUUAUCCUUCAUGUUGGUUUUAAACUCCUCUACCAGCUGCUCCUUGUCUCCUGCAAUCAAUAAAUCAUCUACAUACACUGAUACGAUCAGAGUAUGUUUGUCAACAUUUUUCACAUACAAAGUUACUUCAUUCAUGCUUCUUUCAAAGCCUAAACUCAAAAGAUACCCAUCCAAUCUGCUGUACCAGGCUUUAGGAGCCUGUUUAAGUCCAUACAAAGCCUUCUUUAGCAAAUAUACUUUGUUUGAUGUGAUCUCCUUUUCAAAGCCAUCAGUUUGUUCAACAUAUAUUUCUUCAUUUAGAACACCAUUCAGAAAUGCAGACUUAACAUCCAACUGAAAAAUAUGCCAACCAUUUUGUGCUGCUAGAGCAAGCAAGAGUUUUAUUGUAUCAAGCCUAAAUACUGGAGCAAAUGUCUCAGUGAAGUCAAUACCUGGCUCUUGUGAAUAACCCUUCACUACAAGUCUUGCUUUGUGCUUGUUGAUACUCCCAUCUGCAUUCAGUUUGGUUUUGAAAAUCCAUUUCACACUAAUUACCUUCUUGUGAACGGGUCUGUCAACCAACAUCCAUGUUUCAUUCUUUUCUAUCAUCAUGAGCUCCUCCUUCAUUGCAGCUAUCCAUACUUGUGAGUUAAUAGCUUCUUCAAAAUCUAUUGGUUCUGCUUCAGCAACAUUGCACCUGCUGUAAAUCUCAGCUAAGGACCUUGUCUCCCUUACUGGUUUGUCAUUGACAGUAUCAUCAUCCUCUAUAGCAUCCAAUUUAAUUUGAUACUCUUGUUUUGUCUCUUCAAUUGAUGCAGCUUCCCAGUUCCAUGUACCAUUCUCUACAACUUUUACAUCUCUAGCAAUCACAACUUUAUUAGAUUUCAUAUCAUAGAUUUUAUAAGCCUUAGAUUUUGUGCUAUAGCCUAUAAGAAUUCCCAUAUCAGCCUUUUGAUCAAGUUUUCUUCUCUUUACUUCAGGUUGCAAGACAUAGCAAGGGCUGCCAAAAACUUUUAAAUGAUCAACAUUGGGUUUAAAGCCAUACCAUAUUUCAUAAGGAGUCUUAUCUCCUAACACUCUUGUGGUCAUAUGAUUUAGAAGGUAAGAUGUUGUGUUUACUGCUUCUGCCUAGAAUUUUAAUGGCAUUUUCUUCUCAUAUAGCAAACAUCUUGCCAUUUCCAUCAAUGUUCGGUUUCUCCUCUCACUGACUCCAUUCUGUUGUGGAGUGUAGGGAACUGUCAAUUGGUGUUUGAUCCCUUCUUUUGCCAAGUAUGCCUCAAAUUGUCGAGAGGUAUACUCUCCUCCAUUGUCAGAUCUCCAUAUCUUCAAUCUAUUUCUUGUUUCUACUUCAACUGCUGCUUUGAACUUAACAAACUCAGCAAACACAUCAGAUUUUGAUUUCAGAAAGUAAACCCAGCAGUACCUACUAUAAUCAUCAACAAAUAGAAGAAAAUACUUUGAACCAUUCAAUGAUUCAUUAUGCAUCGGCCCACACACAUCUGUGUGUACAAGGUGGAGUUUUGACAGUGCUCUAUAUGCAUUGUCAGGAAAAACAACUCUAGUUUGUUUUCCUAACUAACAGGCUUCAUAAAUACUCUUUUGUUCCUGUAUAUCUGGUAAACUGUGAGUCAUCUACAGGUCAGCCAUUCUCUUUAAAGUUGCAUAAUUGAAGUGCCCCAACCGUUUGUGCCAAAGAACAGAUUCAUUGUUCUCAUAAGUGUUAGCACUCAAACAUACUUCUCUCCAAUCAACAUUAAAACUUCUGUUCAUCAUUUUUGCAGAAAGCAGUAGCACUCCAUUUUUAUCGUUAAUAUCACAUACUCCAUCAUUAAAGAUUAUUGAGUAACCAUAUUCAAUUAAUUGUCCCACACUAACUAGAUUCUGAUUGAUCUUAGGUACAUAAAGAAUAUUUUUAAGAGUUUUUGUACCUGACAAUGUUUCUACUUCAAUUGCUCUUUUUCCUUCAACCUUCACAUAGUCUCCAUUGCCAAUUCUGACUCUAGAUAGAUAGCUUUUAUCCAAGUCUCUGAAUAAGCUCAAAUCUGCUGUCAUAUGGUUAGUGCAGCCACUAUCAUUGAGCCAUGAUGAGUCGUUUGCCUUUGCUGUGUUACACAUCUCCUGUAUUGUAGCCAUGAAUAAAAGAUCUUUCUUAACUUUUGAACAAUCGGCUACUUGAGCUUGUUUUACUGUUCCUGCUUUAUUUUUGCAGAAUCUUUGAAUGUGACCAAAUUGCUUGCAGUUUCGGCAUUGUGCAUUCUUGAGCCAACACCAGGCUUCAAGAUGAUUUGUUUUCUGACAGAAUUUGCAAGCAGGAAAAUGUUCUUUCUUCUCUUUCCCUCUAGUGAAGUUGUUGUUGUUCUGUUGCCAGUUAUUGGAUUGCCAGCCUUUCCCUUUUUUCUCUUUUUCCUUCUUGAUUGUUUUUGUAAAAAUUCUUAGCCCGACUCUUCUCCUUGUAAACUGCAACAAGAGCUCCUUCACUUGAUCCUUCUUGUCUAUAAGCUUGCCUUUGCUCCACAGCUUGCAAUGCAUUUACCAGUUCUUGCAGGCUCAUUUCAGAGAAAUCUUUAGAAUCUUCUAAAGAGCAAAUUUUAUGUUCAAAUUUUUCUGGUAGACUUACCAGAACUUUCUCUACUAUUCUUGAAUAUGAAAAAUCUUCUCCCAAAAGUCUCACUUGAUUCACAAGUUUUGAAAUUUGAGAAGAGAAGUCUUUGAUGGUUUCAUUUUCUUUCAUCUUUAAACCUUCAAACUAUCUUCUAAGAUUUAAAAUCUGCAUCUUCCAUGACUUCUCAUCACCAUGAAAUUCUGCUUUUAAUUUAUCCCAUGUUUCUUUGGCAGAUUUACACGCCAUGAUCCUUGUGAAAAUGUCUUCACUAACAGCAUUAUGAAGACAGGUAAGAGCUUUGAAUUGCUUUGCCUUUUCUUCAUUAAAAAAUUUCAUCUGUGCAAUCGUAGGAUUGUUUCCUAGUGGAAUUGGUUGCUUAUCGCUCUCCGCUAUCUCCCACAAGUCAAAAACUUUGAGAUAAGUUUCCAUUUUCACAGCCCACACACCAAAAUUCUACCCUGUGAACACUGGUGUUUUUGCUUGAAAAUUUACAGAAUCCAUUUCUUAAAAAAAAAUCACUUAAUCUCCCGUGUUUCACUCACAAUCCCUUCAAAGAAAAAUGCUUUGAUUUAACCUCACUAAUCUCUCGUGUUUCACUCACAAUCCCUUCAAAGAUCAAAGAAUGCUCUGAUACCAAUUGUUGAUAAUAGGUAUAUAAAGAACUGAAUGUUGAUGAUAACCAGAAAAACAAAAAACAAAGAACUUGCAACAAAGAACAAAGAGCAUAAUGUUUUUCAUAUUGGUUACUGCCAUCCCUUAGCUUUUAUUUAUAGAUGAAAUCAAUCACAACACAAUUAAGAAACAUAACUAAUAUAAACUUCUUCAUUUAUGGAGUUAUGUAACUUAUCCCUAAUAAGUUUCAUAUCUAAAGAAAGUAAAACUCACUGCAACACAUUAAAGAUAUGAUGUUACUAAUAGAUAAANNNNNNNNNNNNNNNNNNNNNNNNNNNNNNNNNNNNNNNNNNNNNNNNNNNNNNNNNNNNNNNNNNNNNNNNNNNNNNNNNNNNNNNNNNNNNNNNNNNNGGUGCCAUAACUUCAACACAACAACCAUCCCUUUUCCAGGAAUUCCCAAUGAUUGCGUUAUGCAGAGCAUGAACAAUUCCUCUUGCAUUCCAGUUCACAGGCUGCACGACUCUUGCUCUUGUCCAUUCAAGCUGCAGACGAAGUGUCCGGAAGACUGUAAUUCUCUAUCUUCACAAACCCUUCUCCAUGAUCGCACAACGAAGACGUCUGUAGCCGCUUCCUGACACAACCACCAGAUCCAUCUCUCGUAGACCAUUCCUUUGGGUACUUGGGCUCGAACCCAGGUAAACAGGCACAUCCAAAUCUAUUAUGAUUAGUAAGUUCACACGUACUAUCAGCACCACACAGUCCCUAAUAGUCGUCGCACUGAAACAGUGGGGUCUUCCAGUAAUCCUUCCACUGACCAUCACUUUCUCGCCAUGUUAACGCCUUUACAAGUCCUGGAUGAUCCACUAUUAUUCUUAGCAGAUAAGAAUCAUCAGGAACUGUGUAGACAAAGUACUUUUCGUCUGGAUCAUUUACAAAAGUGCUUUUGUAUAAGCCCAUCUGACUUCUCCAUGGCCAAGGGGGAGAUCUACUAAUUGGCUUUUUACCAUUAUAGAAAAAGAAUUGUGGCGAGCCUUUUGGGUUGAUCCUAACUGAAAAGUCCCUGAACCCAGGGUCUUCAGCUGAUCUCCAUGAUGUUAGGAACCGAUCAAUUCCUAAUUUUCGAUCCAGCCCCAGUUUCAUUCCAGGAAGCAGGAUGUUCGUAGGAUAAUCGAAGCUUUGCCAUACAGUUUUCCUGCUUCUUUUCCUGACCAAAAUCAAAUUUCCUGAAUCCAAGAGUUGGAGACACACAGGAAGCUUUGGGAGAACCACACAGGGAAAGGAGACCACACAGGAAGCUUUUGGUCAUCUUUCCCAUGGAGAACGGUUAAUAAAGAGAAAACCCAGAGAGAGAAAUCCAGAGGAACCAAUGAUUGGAUCGUUCCUGUUUGCAACCCACACCACAGUUUGUUCUGGUAUUUUAUGGUACCAAAUUCCAAGAUAUCUAUUGCUAAAACUGCCAGGACUGAAAAAUCCUAGUGCGAAAUAUUUUCUUGAGAUAAGAAGGUCACCUGUUUACUGUUUGGUUCGUCUUUAAGGAGUCUUGGGAUGUAGAAGAUGAGAAAUGGAGCAUUAUAAGAGAAAAAAGCAGGAGCAGUUUUUCAGCUUCCAUGAUGGGGCAAACUGGACCUUGGCUUUUGGACAAGUGAAUUGUUGCUUUGUGGAGAAAGGAGAUGGUCUUCAGACAAGUGUGGGACCAUUAGAGAAGCAGCGUGAAAAAAAUGGUUUUUUUUUUGUUUAUAGUGGUAAUGAUUUUAAAAAUAAAAAGUUAAAUGUAUUAAAAUAAUUUUUUUUUUUUAAUAUUAACUUAUUAAAGUAAUACAAAAAUAUAAAAAAAUUAAUUUUAAAUUAAUUUUUUUAAUUUUUGCAAAUCUUCAUUUAGACCACACUCCCAUGUUAUCAUAUAAUCGUGUCCUUUGUAUUCUAUAUUCGCUAGAAGGCAACUCAACUUUUUUUUCUUUUUAUGUUUGAUUUUAAUUUAUAAUAAACUAAUUUGAUAUAAUAUAUAUUAUGGUGAUAUCUAAGAUUUCGGAUGAUUAUUUAAGACAUGAGUUCUCUAAAUACCUCAAAUUUACUAGAUUAAUGAUAUUAUUGAAGAUGAUGGUUUUUCAAUUAAGAAAGAAUAUUAAUUUGGUGAAAUUGGCCAUAUUGUGAUGCAAAGAUAUUGUGAAUAUCACAAUACAUGACUUUAUUCUUAGUUUAUUGUGCAUGUUAUGAGAUAAAUUGAAAUUGAUUUGUCCUCCAAAAUCAUAAAUCAUAUAAUUGAGAUAGUAAAAUUCAAAAAAAAAAAAAAUACUUUGUUGUUACUAAUCUUAAAAAGGGAAAGAAUUGAUACAAUGGCGGACAUCAUAAGUUUUAAAUCCAUAAAACAACUAUUUUUUUUUUGUAUUUAAUUUUUUCAAUUUUAUUCAUCUAGUCGAAUUGAUAGUAAUUUUCAAUUUUUUUUAUUUAAUUUUUUCAAUCAUUAUUCAUCUAGUUGAAUUGAUUUUUUUUAAUUAAAGUAACUAUCCAUAAAAGAAUAGUUGACGAACACCACACCUAUAGCAUAACAUAUGAUGAUGCUGUUAGGUUUCUUCCUUGACACUAGGCAGAAUGGAUCAGUUGUUUAGAAUCAGGCUGGGAGUUUUAGCAGUGCUGAAGAGCUUGAUCUGUUGUGAUGUGCAGCAUAUUUGUUUUCAUUACAAAUCUAAUGGAACUUCAUAUUAGCAAUUUUUCAGACAGCACAGCUUCAGCGACAAGCAAUUUCAGAAAUUGUAACCUCAUUUAGAGAACACUGUCCAUCUUCAACGCCUAAUGCUAUAUCAGGAUUAUUGUCAGAUUUUCUGAAGAGGAAUGCAGGUUGUUUUGGAGAAGGAAUCUCUGUUUCACUACUCAACAUAAAAACAACCGCCAACAUAGAUGGUCUGUCCGUGGCAUCUUCUUGCACGCACAGCAGACCAAUCUGCACGCAUUUCAAAGCUUCACGCGGAUCAUACAACUCCGUCAGUGAUGGAUCAACUAUCUCCAAUGCUUUUUCUUCUCUCCAUAAUUCCCACACCUGUAUUGUUCAUAUAAAUCAUUAACAUACAAGAAAUAAGAGCAGACAACAUCUAAAAUUGUGAACAUUGAAACUCAGCCAAGAGCACAAAAGGCUAUCUUAUAACUCACAUAUCCAAUCAAGGUCAAAGGAGGAUUCUGUUGAUAAAAUCUAUUGUUCUUCUUGCCACUAGCAAUCUCUAGCAACAUGACCCCAAAACUGAAAACAUCUGAUUUUGCGGAAAAGUUUCCAAACACAACAUAUUCUGGUGACAUAUAGCCACUGCAUCAGAAAAACAAUAGUAGUUUUAGUAUUCCAGGUAAUCAAUGAUAGUACUUUGUCACUCGGUCUUUGUUUUAGGCAAAGGUACUUACUAUGUUCCCACAACUCUCCUUGUCCUGUCUUCAGUUCGGUUGCCUUCAAAUAUUUUUGCCAUUCCAAAAUCUGAUAUUUUUGGGUUCAUAUCUGCAUCCAAUAGAAUGUUGCUGCAUUUUAAAUCCCUGUGAAUGAUUCUCAACCUGGAGUCUUGGUGAAGAUAUAAAAUCCCACGAGCUAUUCCAACAAUAAUAUCAAAGCGUUUUCGCCAAUCCAAUAACAAUCUUCUGCUUUCAUCUGUUGAAACAAUUAUUUUUCAGACAGGUAUAAUUUGACAACUAGUGUAAAUCAGGGCAGUAAAUACUUAAAAAGACUUACCGAAGAGAAACGAGUCCAAGCUUUUGUUAGGCAAGUAUUCAUAGAUUAACAUUUGUUCUCCAUCCUGAGUGCAAUAACCUAGAAGUUUCACCAGAUUCCUGUGUUGAAGCAUUGCAAUUACCAUAACUUCAUUUUUAAAUUCUUCUGUUCCUUGUCCUGAACUUCUAGACAACCUUUUUAUUGCAACCUCCUUUCCAUUAGCUAGCAGACCCUAAAAUCAUGUUACAAGAUUAAGCCUCUAAAUUACAAUUAUGAAAAUUAGAGAAACUGUAGUAUUGAGAAGCCAUUUAGUUUUUAGCUAAAUGCAAGAAACGCAACCUUAUAAACAGAGCCAAAACCACCUUGCCCGAGUUUGUUAGCUGGAGAGAAAUUGUUAGUGGCCGCCGUUACGGUGCUGAGCUUGAAAUAUUCCAAUUCAGUAGAAGUGCUGUUUACCUGCAGUUCAGAACCUUUUUUGGCUCUCUUCUUGAACCACAAAUAAGCAAACAGGCUAAUGAGAAACCACAAUAAUGCAAUUGAUGGUGCUGAAACGGCCUGCAUCGUUUUUUCACAAGAAUCAUUUGACUUCCUUUUAGUAUCAGCUGCAUGAGAAUGAAAAGAAUAAAGAUUAACUCUAUAGGAAAAACCACCCCAUUUUCCAAAGGAAAUAUGACAAUACAUACAAGGGUAGCCCUUUUGGCACCUAAAACGUACCAAUAUCUAUGGUUUCUUUCCUGCAGGGAAGAGCUUAUUAACUACAGUCAAGAGCAGUGACAAGCAUAGGAAAGCUCUUAUGAAUCAAUAUUUGUGAUGACAAUCCUAUGAAGUAGUUACUGAGCAGAAAAAGGGUACCUAAUUCAUAUGCAUCAACACGAACAUACAGAUCAUGACUUUCACUCCUAUCAUAUCUAAUGUCUACUAAUUCCUUGUACCAUGUCAAACAACCAUAAUUUUUUCCGGGAAUUGCAAUGAUUGCGUAUGCAGAGCAUGAGCAAUUCCUCUUGCAUUGCACUUCGCAGUCUGCAAGACUCUUGCUCAUAUCCACCCAAACUGCAGCUGAACUUUCCGGAAGAGCUACAUUUUCCACCUUCACAAACCCUUCUCCAUGCUGGCACACCGAAGACGUAUGUAGCCGCUUCCUGACACAACCACCGGACCCAUCUCUCGUAGACCAUUCCAAUGGGUACUUGGGCUCGAACCCAGGUAAACAGGCACAUCCAAAUUCAUUUGCAUUGGCGAGUUCACACGUACUAUAAGCACCACAAAUUCCAUAAUAGUGGCACUGAAACUGAGGGGACUUCCAGUAUUCCUUCCACCGACCAUCACUUUCUCGCCAUGUUAAAGCCUUUACUACUCCUGAAUGAUCCACUAUUAUUCUUAUCAGAUAAGAAUCAUCAGGAACUGUGUAGAAAGAGUACUUUUCGUCUGGAUCAUUUACAAAAGUGCUUGUGUAUAAGCCCAUCUGACUUCUCCAUGGCCAAGGGGGAGAUCUACAAAUUGGUUUUUUACCAUUAUAGAAGAAGAAUUGUGGCGAGCCAUUUGGGUUGAUCCUAACUGAAAAGUCCCCGAACCCAGGGUCUUCGGCUGAUCUCCAUGAUGUUAGGAACCGAUCAAUUCCUAAUUUUCGAUCCAGCCCCAGUUUCAUUCCAGGAAGCAGGAUGUUCGUAGGAUAAUCGAAGCUUUGCCAUACUGUUUUUCUGCUUCUUUUCCUGACCAAUAUCAAAUUUCCUGAAUCCAAGAGUUGAGCUUCACAAGUAUCAUUUUCUUCCACUGAAACAUUUGUAGACCACACAGGAAGCUUUCGGUCAUCGUUACCAUAGAGAAUGAGGUUACCAUAUUGGUCUACAAAGAGAAAUCCUGAGGAACCAAUGAUUGGAUCGUUCCUGUUUGCAACCCACACCACAGUUUGUUCUGGUACUUUAUGGUACCAAAUUCCAAGAUAUCUAUU